rnacentral:sRNA from 1 species
GGAUUCACAUUGAGACGUUGUUGUCCUCUCCAUGUGUGAUCUCAGACAGAGCUACAUCAGCUUCUCUGAGUUUCAGAUUCCUGCUUUAUAAUAAAGAGUAAGACUUACUUUGUAAGGUUGUUGAUAAGGAUUAAAAAUAAAAUGAAUUUGAAAACACCUGACUUUGAAAAGUCUCAAACACACAUGGCUUAGCAUAUAAAAAACAAGUGAAUUAAAGACGUUUUUUGAAAAUUGUGUUUUUGGAAAAGUUCAUGAAGUUCAUCAUAAAUGUCCCCUGAAUUGAUUUGUACUUAGGAGAUUUGACUGUAAAUAAAGUCAUGUGGCAAAACA